rnacentral:rRNA from 1 species
AUUGAACGCUGGCGGCAGGCUUAACACAUGCAAGUCGAGCGGAGCGAGGGUGCUUGCACCUUAGCUUAGCGGCGGACGGGUGAGUAAUGCUUAGGAAUCUGCCUAUUAGUGGGGGACAACAUUCCGAAAGGAAUGCUAUUACCGCAUACGCCCUACGGGGGAAAGCAGGGGAUCUUCGGACCUUGCGCUAAUAGAUGAGCCUAAGUCGGAUUAGCUAGUUGGUGGGGUAAAGGCCUACCAAGGCGACGAUCUGUAGCGGGUCUGAGAGGAUGAUCCGCCACACUGGGACUGAGACACGGCCCAGACUCCUACGGGAGGCAGCAGUGGGGAAUAUUGGACAAUGGGCGGAAGCCUGAUCCAGCCAUGCCGCGUGUGUGAAGAAGGCCUUUUGGUUGUAAAGCACUUUAAGCGAGGAGGAGGCUACUUAGAUUAAUACUCUGGGAUAGUGGACGUUACUCGCAUAAUAAGCACCGGCUAACUCUGUGCCAGCAGCCGCCGUAACAC